GGGCUAAGGAAAAAGGAGGAUAAAUAUGGAUAAGAAGCUACAAACCAAAAAGAAUAGAGGAGCAAUGGGGAACAAGUGAAAAUACAAUCAAAUCACACCCAAAACCUCUAAGUUAAUCCUCUUCUUGACUCCAUUAUUCACAAUUUUUUUUUCUCAUUUUUCUAUAUUUUUUUUUCUUUUUUUUCAUCUUGUCUCUUUUCUGAUCUCUCUUUUCAGAACACAACUUCAAGA
rnacentral:lncRNA from 1 species